ACUAACAAUAAUUUAACGAAAUUUUACCUAUUCGAAACUUUGUAUUCAGUAAAGCUUUAAAGAAAUGGUAAGUAAAUCAGUCUUUGCUUAUUUAUGUGUUAUUUUGAUUUACAAUUUUAUCAUCUUUGGUAAUUUUCUUAUACAGCUUUUUAGGGGCUUAUUUCAUAGUCUUCAGGUAAAUAUCUACAUAUCUAGAACACAAGUGUUCGAAUUUCAGUAAGUAAGUAAGUAUAGUGUAAUACUAGAGACAGUCCAUGGCGUCCGCGGCCACGACCAUGGGCGGCACCCACGGCGAGUGUCGCGCGCCGAACGAAUACGCGCGGGGACUCUGCGGACAAAUGUAAUAAUUAUAA